GGAGCAGAGGAUCUACACCAUGGACCCAACUCCUUUUCUCCUCUGGGUGCUCACAGUCUGCCAAGGGGUCAGUUCUCAGGCUGUGGUGACUCAGGAGCCAUCUCUGACUGUGAUCCCGGGAGGAACAGUCACCCUGACCUGCAGCUCCAGCACAGGGGCGGUCACCUCUGGGCACUAUCCCUACUGGUUCCAGCAGAAAUCUGGCCAGACUCCGAGGCCACUCAUCUAUAAUACCAACAAUCUUGUAUCAGGUGUCCCUGCCCGGUUCUCAGGGUCCCUGCUUGGGGACAAAGCUGCCCUCACCAUCAAGGGGGCCCAGCCUGAGGAUGAGGCUGAUUAUUACUGUAUGCUAUGGUACAACAGUGGUAACCAGCCUCACAGUAAUUGGCUCAGAUGA